GAUGAACGCUGGCGGCGUGCUUAACACAUGCAAGUCGAGCGAUGAAGUUUCUUUCGGGAAAUGGAUUAGUGGCGGACGGGUGAGUAACGCGUGAGGACUUGUCUAGUACAGGGGGACAACAGUUGGAAACGGCUGCUAAUACCCCAUAAGCCUAAGGGUAAAAGGAGCAAUCCGGUACAUGAGAGACUCGCGUCCUAUCAGCUAGUAGGUGGGGUAACGGCCCACCUAGGCGAAGACGGGUAGCCGGCCUGCGAGGGCGAACGGCCACACUGGAACUGAGACACGGUCCAGACUCCUACGGGAGGCAGCAGUGGGGAAUAUUGGGCAAUGGAGGGAACUCUGACCCAGCGACGCCGCGUGAGUGAAGAAAUCCCUCGGGAUGUAAAGCUCUGUUGUGUGGGAAGAUAAUGACGGUACCACACGAGGAAGCCCCGGCAAACUACGUGCCAGCCGCCGCCGUAACAC
rnacentral:rRNA from 1 species